rnacentral:tRNA from 1 species
UCUUAUGUAGUAUAUUUUAAUACAUCGCUUUUAGAAAGUGAAAAAUUUUUAAGAA